GUUCGAUUCGAGCGCAGCGAGAACGCGUUGCCGCAGGCAACGACCCGAAG
rnacentral:sRNA from 1 species